UAAAAGUUCAGCAGUGAAUUCUGCCAACGAUUUGCCAUAUCUCUGAAACCUAUUUUCAGAGAUAAAUAAAUAGGUGCCUUCUACUGGAUUUAUUGUGAUGACGCGAAGGCCAAACAAUCCUGGGUUUUUUUUCCCUCUUGUUCCAAAUCUCCAGGCUGCAAGGAAGCCGAAGGAAAUGGUUUCUCCCUUUCUGAAUUCCCGGAGUGUCUGAGAGGGGUUGAACAAGUCAAAGCACUAAAUGCUAGUGCCCUGACCCUCAUGACGCCAGUGGCCUGAGAGUUAUGCAUAUCAAUGACUGUUGCCUCUUCCCAAAAGAGCCAUGUAUUUCUGGGAAGCCUCCCCUCCAGGCUGAUAAAGGGGAGAUGUGCCAUAGCACUGUGGUCAGGAUAAAAGGUUUCUACAAGCGUCACAGGCAGACAGAGGGUGAUUAUUCGGGGCUGGAAGAAUUAGCAAUGGUACAGUAUGAUGCUGGACAGCCUGCAAGUGCUGGCGCUCCCGGGCAGGGGAGGGUAGAAGCUGUACUUUCAAGGCCUGGGCUUCAGCAGAUGGGUGGCAAAUGUUUGUCGCGACUGUUUAAAGGAGAAAAUGGGAAAGCUCGGACUGAGGGCGGCCGCCAGCCAUGAGGCAGGAGGGGACAGCGACGUGGGAACAGUCAUGUGCGUAACAGGGUCAGCCAGGGAACUCCUUAGGCACAGGACCUCUCCAAGGGAAACCCAGGCCGCUGAAGCAUGAACUUUGAUGAUUCAGUUGGUGAAAACCGAUCCAAUGCCCCGUCCUGCGCUACCGGAGAUGACCAAUGAAGCCGAGAUGCUGGCUGCUGUGACCACCGAAGGUUGCACAAGCCUUGCUCUUUGCUGUUAAAGGGCUGCCGUGUCCCGCCACAGAGGUGGAUGCAUUUAACAGGGAGUGCUGCCGUCAAGCUUGACUGCUUAAGGGCUUCCAGCUUGUCAGAAGAAAGACGAGACGGGGAGGUGGCCAAAUGCUAGGAAGCUUCAGGACUUGAAAAGCACGGCUGAGGAUAACAAUACGGUUGGAAGCCCGCGAAGCCGGGGGCUGGAUCACUCUGGUGGCUGCUUUGUCCUCUUGUUCGUGCCAGAUCUGGGAUUAAACUGCAUCAUGUCACAGAUCCACCCACCAGUCCCCCUCCCCGUGCUCGGACCAGACAUCUCGACUCCAGGAUGCUCAGGCAAUCAAGUGAGGGGGAGCUGAUCUCCCAGCCGAGAGGUGCUCCGGGGAAAAAUGGCGUUUUGCCGUAUCCCUGCCAGGAAAUCCAAUUCCUGAGCAGAUGGCUCAGCUCGACUCGCCAGGUAGCUCGGAGAUUAUUAGCAGGCCCUAGAUGCUGCAGUUUGUAGUCUAAAGCUUCCCAGCACCCAUCCAAGGACUGUGGCUGGCUAACAAAAGAGGAGAGGAGUUUAUAAUCAAGAACAUCUUUCAUCGUUAAUCUCCUGAUCCUGAUCUGGUUUGUGUAUAUUAUCCCAGGUACAUGCACUAAAAAUCCUUCCAUGUAUUUGUUGGCCUCACACCCCUACAAACCAGCAGCGUCCUUCCCUUGUGCAGGUGGAGAAGUGAGAGCUAGGCAGAUUAAGUGACUUGCCCGAGGUCACACAGGAAGUAAGUGGCAGAGCUGGGAAACAAACCCAGGUGCCUGGGCCUCUGCUGUGUAUGGAGCCAUCACUCAGGUCCUUUGAGUUGGGGCUCUUCCUCUCGAUGCCUGAAUCCAUCACUGUAAAGGUCAGUCUCUCCGCUGCGCAGGUUAAUCGGUGCGGCACUAAGCACUUUGACGAGCCGGUUAGCUGCAGCUGGAGCCUGUUAACCAGCCUGAUUGGCUGUGGGCUGUAUUUAAGGUCAAACAAGUGCUUUUGGUUUCAGCGUGCCGGGCCUGGUUCCUGCCUCUCUCUCGAAUGCAGAUGCUUCAUCUCAGGGGUAGUAAGCUCUUCAGGGCAGAAACAGAGCUCAGUCAGUGUUUGGACAGCUCCUGGAGCUGCAGGACCCCAAUCUGAUUUGCACAGAGCUGAAGGCCAGAGCAUCUUAUUUGAGCAGGUACCAGCUCGAAUUGCAAACUGUUACCUGAUUUGCUAUCGACUGUUGCUGUUAAGUCUCUCUCAGUAUUACUGCCUUCCAAGUUUCUUCCUUCACUUGAAUAUUUGCAGGGUUACUUUUCUUCAGACCAAGUGGUCCAUGCCAACAGUUCAUAGAUUCAUAGAAGUUAGGAGCUGGAAGGGACCUCACAACAUCAAGUCCAGCAGAUGUCAUAUCCGAGCCUUUGUGCUUUUCACUGAUAAACCUUAUUUUCUUGACCAUAUUUCUAACCUAAAUCCCUAAUCUAUACUUGACACCAGGGGUGGCCAACCUAUGGCACACAGCAGAUCAAGCAGGGGGGGACAGGCAGCACAGUGGCAGGGAGCAGAAAGCAGAACAGCAAAUCAGGCAGAGAGCACUGGGCUGGGAACAGAAAGCAGAGCAUCAGAUAGGGCAGGGGAAGGGGAUCAGAGCGGCACUCAGGGAGGGUAUGAAGUUAAUUUGUGGCACACCUGCCAAAAAAGCUGGCUCCACGGCUCUACACUAUAUAGGUACCUUUAUAUAUAUUUAAUGGGUUGUACGUAUGUAUGUGUGUAUGUAUAUAUAUGUGUGUUUAUAAUAUAUAGGAUAUUAUAUAUAUAUAUAGGUUCUCAUGUCACUAUUGUGUUCUACUACAGAACAGAUGCUAGGUGAGGAGCUCAGUGGUGUGUUGGCUUUCUAUACAGAGUUGAAUUUCACGUUGAUGGUUAUAGGCUCAGGAGUUAGAGACUGUAAAUGCCAAGGUGAUGGACACAACAUAAAAAAUGAUGGAGAGAAAAAAAGGGCCUCGUAGACAAUCCAAUCCAUUUGCUACCAGCAUCCUACAAUAAGCACAAAUGUGGAAGGGAUUUCAGCACAGGGGGACUUAGACUUUCUCUAGAACCAUUUGGAGGAGUUUCUCAAAGUGCUUUGGAAGCGUUGCUUAAAGUUUUCAGUUUUUCUGAGUAAACAAGCAAAGUGGGCUGCCUUUUAUCUAUGGGGAAUCCCAGGCCCGUACAGAGCCUGGCUCAGCAUUACGCAGCAAAUCGAGAGCAGACGUAGGAGCAGAUCCCAGAGGUGCCUGCUCAUAGAGAUCAGUCUCAAGUGCAGAGCAAGAAACUCCUUAAAUAGACCAAAUUAACUCUACAGAAUCAGGUGAAGAACUGAAGAACUCUGAGAUCGAGGGUCAGGGAUUAGGUGUCUGGGUAGGAAAGAGCUGAUUAUGUCUUUUUACAACAAAAAUACAGGCAGCAGUUCAAAUGAAUGUAUUCCUAAUAUGUGAAAAAUAGCAUGUAUCAUCCUUCGAGCCUCUUCAUCUGCCGCUAACCCACUGACCCCUGAUGCUGACAUGGAAAUUAUGCUCUGUAGCUCUUUUCGCAGCCUAAACGAAUGAUCUGAACCAGCUCGUGACCUGUUUUUAUUCCUCUUCAUUUGUUUAAAACUGUCAUCGUGUCUGUUUUGAGAUUUCUUUGCAAUGCUUCCUUUUUAAAAAAAAAAAAAAAAAAAAAAAAAAAAAAAAAAAAAAAAGAAUAGCAAAAGUGCCCUGUGUUCACUGCUGCUUCCUCUUUCUGAUUCACUUAGCCACUUAUCAUUCUUUCCUCUAUGGAAAUAUUUCUCUUGCUUAAAGGCGAUGUGCUAUAAUUGUGGGGCAGGGAGAACUCUGAAUCCAUGAAAGCUAAGUUUAAUGGAAAUCUGUUCUGGUGAAAUGCCCAGCGUGACUUCCAGCACAAAGAUGCCGUGAUAACAUCAGCAGAGAGUCAAGCCUCCCUCUUAGGAGUGUGACGUAUCAGAGUUUGUGUGUUUGUAGUGCAGGUGGGGUCCAUAGUUAUGUUGCAUAAAAUGGCCUUGAGAUGGCAAUGCACGGGUUCUGAAAAUGAGACUGGGACUCAGUAGCAGUGAAAUUUGUCCCCCUGGGACUAAGAUGAACUCUGCAGUGGGUAGAAUACAGUCACACAGUUGACUUUAGUAGUGUUCAGCCAGUGUGUCUACACAAGACGUUUUACUGCGCAAUAGACUAAUCUACUGUGCAGUGAAGCAUCACUAUGUAACCAUGCUGUAACAGGAGGCCUUCUCAGGGCCGAUUUGCCUUUGGCCCACCCACCUGUUCUGAGCCAACCACCUGCCUUCUCGCCUGCCAUGCCUUGUUGUUAAUUAAUUAAUUAUCUUAAUUAGGCGGAAAGCUGCCCAUUUCUUGCCCCGGUGCCAGGGGGUGCUAUCUGCGGCUCCAUACCUCCCCUACACCGCAGUCCAUGCCUUGCAGAUGGCAUCCAUAGUUCUUACAAUCACCGGCCCCAUGCUAGGCCCCAGACUUCUCCGAUCAGGACCCCUCUAAGAUCCCUCCAUUCCAGCGGCCUACCCAGCCUUCAUUCAGGCUAUCUAGCUCCCUGAAACUAUUUUCCCCUCUUGGGUGUGGUCCCCCCGGGACCUUUGGCCAUACAGGCCCUGGCCUUACAUCCAAGGCCAGUCGGAAACCCCAGGCCCUCUUAGCUCUGGCCAUCCCUUGCGGUGGGCCCCUGGCCCUUUUGACUGGUCUGGUCCUGGCCCCAGCAUUGACCAGUUGAGGGUACUCUCUCUGUCAGGUCUCUGAGUCUCUAGCCCCACUCUAUCUCCUGGAGUCUGUCCUCUGGGCCCUACUAGCGGGUGACCCACCUGGGUGGGAGCUGAGGUUAAGGCGCCUCGACCCAACUUUCACUGGGGUGGUAACUGGCCUGGCAUUUCCUGGGGGCUCCACUGAGAGCCCCACCAGGCCACCCACUCCCAGCAGGGUGCAGUUUUAGGUGGCUACCUCAAUCAAGCACCUGCUGGCCAUUUGGCUCUGAUCUUAAAGUGGCAGGCACAAACAGUGCCCCGUCACACAUGCCCUGGGCUACUGCGCAGUAAAAUAGGCUAAUGCACGGUUAUCUACUAACUGAAAAUAUAAGUAGUAGAUUAACUGCGCAUUAGCUACUGUGUAGAUGCUGGCUGGGAGCAAUUUGCUCCUGCUCAGCCCAGGCAGCAGGGGGCCCACUGCUGCUUGGUUAAUCCUCAUGUGGUUGGAAAUGUGCUGCCUGCAGGGGCACCUGUCUCCCCACCACAUGGGGAUCAGGACGUCCCGAUCCCCACAUGGCUGGGAGGCUGCAGCUGGGACUGCUGCAUCCCAACCAGGUGGGGAUCAGGUCUGGUGGUGGGGAGAGGCAUCCCCACCUGGUGGGGACAGCCACAUGGGGAUUGAGAGGGUCCCAAUCACCACGUGGCUGCCAGGCAGCAUUCCCAUGGGGACACCUCUCCCAGCCACUUGGGGAGUAGGUUUGAUCCUCAGGUGGCUGGAUGCAGCAGUCCACCAGUCCCCAGCCCCCUGCCAGCCCCAGGCUGGCACCUGGGGCAGUGUGGAGCUCCCCCUGGCUGGUGCAACAGGGCAGAUCAGGGUGGGGGGUGGGCAAGAAGAUCCUGGGGUUCACCUGCUCCAGUUGGGAGCAAAUUUGCUCCCAGACCAGGGCACAUGUAGACCCAUUCCUUUUUUAAUGUGCAGUAACAUUACUGUGCAUUAAUGGCACAUGUAGCUGCACCCAGUGACAAGGAUGAGUGUGCAGAUGCUCUUGAUAAUCUCCCAGGAUAAACUGCUAGUGCCUCUUAUCCUGUGAACCUUGCUAGGGUUUGUCCUGAGAUAACCAUCUGAGCCACUGUGCUUUCUCCCAGGACAAAUGCAAAGUCUAUUUGUUGCCUUAAGGUAUCAAGUCAUGUUACAUCUUGCUUCUCUCACAGCCUUGGACCAUCACAGCUACAACAGGAAAACUCCAAUGAAGAGAACAGGAUUUCCGCUCUCUGAAAAGAGCUUCCAGGCCUUUGUAUGAAAUAGCUACAGAGGGAAUUGUCUAGUAUUAAUUAAUCGGUGGCUGUUUAAUAUUAACCUGGCAUAAAGCACAGUCUUGAAGAGUUCCCCUUUACAUCUGGAUUGAAAAUAAAACCCAGAGGAAGCGAUUUUAGAUCAAAAGAGCAGAGUGGAAGAUGUCAGCAAAUGGGAACAGGCCAGGUGCUUGCUCCCAGGAAGAGCGAGAAGGCUUCCAGAGAGAAGGGAACUGGAUAAGAAGGAUUGUGAGCAUAUUUACGGCCAUCUGGCACCUUCUAAUUAUUCAAGUGAUGAGGCUGCCUGAGUGCUCUCCAAAAUGUGGGGAGGGAGAGAGGGAAAGAGUCUGUUUGGGCAGCGGCUCGCGAGCGCUUCCUGCUUGCGACGUAUGUUUUUUUGGAAAUGUUUUAUAUCACUUACAAAACUAUUUAUAUUGCUGGGGAAGUAGGGAAGAGAUACCAGAAGGAGAUUUUUAGAGGCUGUUCCUUCUGAGUUUGCCAUCCAUGCUUGUACAACAUAGGCACCUGGGAAGGAUGGGGAGGGAGGUUUGGAGUAGUCCAGUAGAUUUCGGGUCCCUUGACGUAUCAGCGGAACUGGGUUAUCUUCUUUCUGCCACUGCAGCAUUGCUAAUUCUUGCCAAGUUUUGUCUCGAGUCUUGCAGUAUUGCAAUAUCUGAUUUCUAAAAACCAAAAAAAAAUAAAUAAAUAAAAUAAAAUAAAAAAAGGCCCCUCUGCCUGAAGUCACGUUAGCUAGAGAACAUCUCUGCUUUCCAUUUAUAAAGAUAAUAAAUCUCUUUGCCUUCAUGUUGGUGGCAAAAAGCUUGGAAAUAUGAUGGGAAUGCAUCCUGAAGGCUCAAUGCUCAGAAGGGAAAUCAAAAGACCCCUAAAAUGUAUUAAAUCAGCUCAGGACAGGUGAUAUCUUUUAUUAGACCAACUAGAUUUUUGCAAAAAAAAUUCUUUAAUUUCUUUAACUUAAAGUCUCUCUCUCUCUUUUUUUUUUUUUUUGCAAAAAUUUAAAAAGCUGGUCUAAUGAAAAUAUAUCACCUCUGCCAUGAGUUCUGAUUCCCUUUGCCUCUAGACCGGUAUGGCUACAAUCUGGAUACCUUAAAUCAGCUCAAAUGCUGAUGAUUUUUUCAAGCCUUAGCCUUGAUUUUUUUUGACCACUUGGGGUGGGCAACACUGCUGUGGUGUUGAUCUUGAGCAAGUGUCUUCUUCUUUUUGCUUCUGUUUCCCCUCUUCUUGUUUGUUGGGUCGGAGCUGGACCAGCUGGGCAAGCUGGUGCGCUGAGUCAGCAUGUGGGAAACUUUGGAGAAUCGGCUUCAAGUUCUUCUUCCACCACAGACUCUGCAUGAUAUUGGGCAAACCACUAGGACUCUCUUUCUGGCUUUUCAAAUAAGCCCAGCACCAACAUCCUAUCGCAGAGUGGUGUUGGGAGGAAACUCAGGUGCUCAGAGACUAUAACAACAGGGGCUGUUUCAUGGUCUCCAAGCUCUUCAAAUUCACUGAAGGCUCAUCACCAUCAGUAGCAAUUUUAGGGUGUUUUUGUUAUUUUUCCUGUGUGCAUUGCAUUGUAUAAAGCACAUCCAUAAAGCCACUGCAUUGGGAAGCUACAGGAUGCACUGCAGCUUUCUUUCCUUUGAACCGGAGCAUGCUUGCUGCGAUUCAGUGAUGUAUGCAUGUGUUGUUCCAGCUCUGGUUAACGCCGACUGCUCAGGUGGCCCCUGAUGGCUUUGUAGAGCCAAGAUGGUCCCCUUCCAUAUGUUAGUCACCAGCACCGUACAGCCUGGUCCUGGCUGGCAUCCCUCAGGGUCCCGGUAGCACAAAGAAGCGAUGACAGUUUAGCCUCUAUCUAGUGAUGUCAGCACACGGCAGUGACACAAGAGCUCUGACCUUUUUCUCGGCUCGGUCGCCGACCAGCUGUGAGAGCUUGGGAAGUUGCUGCAGCCCUUCCUGACUCUUUCUGUCACUGUAAGAUGAUGCUAUCUAUUCUUUGCUACCUGUUGUGUUUUAAUUACUUAACACCUGUGCUCUGGUGAGGCAAGUCACAAUAGAAAUGCAAAGCAACGUUAUUAUCAUCCUUAAUCAUGCAUUUGGGUAUGCCUACAUCCUGGCAGAGGGUAGGAAGCGAAGAAUAAUAAAUUGAUGUUUUUCAUGUUAAUUCUUGCUGUAAGCUUUUUUUUCCCCUCCCCUGCUAGAGGAUGUUACAACAUCAUAUACCAUAGAUGCAAUUUUUUAAAAGCCUGGGUAAUUUUAUGGCCAAUUAUGACACCUACAGUUAGGCCUGCUAAGAGGAGGAUAAUCAAAUUUCCUCCUUCGGGGUAUAAGCUGAUCACUGCAAGGGUCAAGAAGAAAUUAUUUUCCCCAGCUGGUAGGAGAGGUUAUUGGUCUGAUGGCCAGACUCUAGACUUGCCCAGACCAGUGAUCUGAUCGGGUAUGGCACGAUGCAGGAUAUUGGAUAUAAUGGAGCAGCUCUCUAGUGUGACAGGGCUAUUCCUAUCUGGAAAAUCAUUGCAGCUCGUGCUGAGCAAGUGGUGCAGUGUGAACCAAGUCCACAUAACAGUGCGGAGGGCUCCCUGGUCCCCAAACCUUCCUCCAUCCACCCUAUGUACACUGUCAGGCUGCUCUAAAGCAUCACCCUGGUUUCUCUGUGAGCAGCCUGCUACUGUCCCGGACUCUAAUCUCAGACAGCUGCUGCCAUUGCUGCUCCUUGAGAUAAGACUCGCCGAAAUGAAUGUUAACGUGAUUUCAGUAAUUGCAUAAACAAGCUCGCUGCCCCCAAGAAAGGUUUGCCUCCAAAACCUGGCGCAAAGGAUAGAAGAUGGGCAGGAGCCGGAUAAGGCUACCAGGUUGUGCUGGAGACGAGCGAGCCUGGGAAACCCGUGUUUCAGGGGUUGUUUUCUUUGGCAAGAAAGCGGCGAAUUGACAAAUUUGGGGUUUAGCUGAGAUGUACAACCAAGGCCCCAGCUGCUUGUGGUCAUUAAACAUCCCAUAAUACCUUUUGUAAGCGCCGGCGUGCAAACCCCGUGCCCUGCCCACUUCCAUGUUCUGGCCUCAGAUUCCUCCUGCAGUUUCAUGUGAGCGCAGAAAUCCUUUUGCACUUCUUGUCCUGACUCAUGCUGUGGUGUUUCUGGGCUGCUGUUUCAUCUGCAGAGGUGGCUGCAACUGCACAGUGGAGGGAACCCGAUUCUUGUGCAUAAAUGUAAAUAACUUGAGAAUAAACUAUACGACAUAAAUUAGGUUGUGGUGGCGACGGCGAUAACAGUGGACAUGUCCCAGAAGUUCAAACAACCAUCCAUCUAGUUUCAUACCCUGUCUCUGAGAGAAGCUAGUGCUGAAGCUACAGAAGUUACUAAAAUCUCCAGAGUUUCAUAGAUAUUAGGGGCUGGAAGGGACCUUACAGAUCAUCCAUAAUGAGCAAUUAAUAAGCAUCUUGCCCAUAGCUUAUAGGUAGCUAUGCAGCGUCCAAACUUAAAAACUGCGUCUCUCUUUAUGUAUCUUGGUCUCAAUAACACUUAUCAUAGAAAAUUUCAUAGAAAAUUAGGGCUGGAAGGGACCUCAGGAGGUCAUUGAGUCCACCCCCCGAACUCCAGCCUUGUGGCAAAGAGUUCCACGGAUGAACUGUGCUUUGGGUAGGAAUACGGUACACGCUUUCAGCGCUCUUAGGUCUUGGACAGACAACCGGUUUGACCCAAAUCAGUUAAGUCUGAUACUACAUUCAACCAGGUUUAUCUCAAACUAGUUUCAGCUGUUUUCUAGCUGGUUUAUGUUGCAUGGUUUUAUAUGUAUGCAGACCAGCCCAGCCACCGGCUUCUUUACUUUUCAUCCCAUCCAGGAAGAGCACACACCGACUGCUGAAACUUCCUUAGCCUGAUGAAGGGUUUUUGAACCAAAAAGCUUGCUUAAUAACUAUUCUCCAACUAUUUGGGUUGGUCUAAUAAAAGAUAUCAGAUUCACCCAAGGAACCUUGUCUGCCAUAGUUUCAUAUAGUGCACUGAACGUCUGUACUGUUACAGGUUUAAACCAGUUUCUGCUCAUGUAAACCGGUUUAUGUGUAAUGUCUGUCCCUAGCCCCAAUAUUUAGUUCUUCACUGAAAGGAACUGGUCUGGGGUAGGCCUCUCCCUACCUUUGUCAUGAAAAUGAUUUCAUUGCCCCCAUCAGCUUCCCCUAAUCUCUCUCUCGGCUCUCUCCAAACCCCGCUUGUUCCUGCCAACAGCUUGCUUCUGUUAUCCUUUAAGAAAUUCUGUUUAAUGGUCUUAGCUAGUUGCUCUUCAGACUCCCUCUGAGCCUCUUUGAUUUCCAUCAAACGUGUCACCUGCCAUAGUUUGUUCCUUUUAAUUAUAUCCACUUGAACUAGAUCUCUAUCUUUUUGAAGAUAUCUGUUUGGCUUGAAUAAACUCUUGGGUAUUGCAAUUGAGCUGCAUUGUUUUCUUUUUUGCCUUGUCUUCUUGAUUUCCCUUUUCUUGUCUAGAGGCAAGUUUCCCUUCUCUGUCUCAUUUACGGGAGGCCGAAGUGGUCUCCAUGCUGCGUCUAAGCAUUUUCAUUUCCUCAAUUUUGACUUACAGUCUUUUUGACUUGCUUCCUCACUUGUUUAAUAAAAAUCCUUUUUGCAAAGUGAAGUGCCCCCGUGUGAUUUCAGGUAUAAUCUCUCUCACAAGAAUCUUGCACGCAAUUAGAUUUGAUUUCUUUCCUACUUCUAAAAAUUAAAAAAAAAAAAAAGAAAAAAACCCUUAUUGUGCUGCUGAUGUACCACGACCAUGGGCUAAGAUGCCAACACACCCCUAUGACACAGGUGUGUGAGAAUAACAUGGAGAGAGUGCACCGUGUGUGUGUGUGUGUGUGUGUGUGUGUGUGUGUGUGUAUAUACACACACAUAAAGAUAAGGCCUGAAAACAACCAGGUCUCAUUGCCAUUUCUAGCAGGUGUUGUGUCCAAAGGGUGUAAUGUUUUCUCGUUCAUACCAAAAUCCCCCGAGGCAGUGCAGUUGCAGUAUUAGCCUGCGUUGGCUCUGUGGCAGGUCCAGCAACAAAAGCCAUUACAUUUAGGCAGCCUAUGGGUUAGCAGAUCAUAAGCAUUUCUCCAAUCAAGUGUUCACCAAUGGACUCAGCCCCGGCCAAGUUGCCUAUGUCACUAUUCACCCUGAGGACUCAGUCGUGGUCGCUUUUCCUAGCAGCAUUGCAAUUCAGUUGCGAAGCCUCUUUCAUUGAGUCCAGUGUCUCCUACUGAUACUUCCUCACCUGCCUAAAAUGCUUUGAGGUCUUUAAGUGAAAAGCACAAAUUAAGUACAAAGUGCUGCUGUUAUGGUCCAGCCCUGAGUUUGGAAUAGGGUUGCCAACUCUGACUGAAGCUAUUCCAGAAGAUUUUUUUCCCCCCAGCGUGAUAUAAUGUCAUUAAUUUCAUUUUCUAUUAAAAUCUCCAGGAUUGCUUUCAAUAGUCCCCGGGAGAUCAAUGCCGAUUCUGUAGACUCCUGGCUAAUCUGGGAGGGUUGGCAACCCUAAUUUGGAAAGGUUUUUCAUGCUAAAAAAAAGUGACUAAAGGCCAACUUCUGAUCUGGGACUUCCAUCGGAGUCGGUCACCUGUGUCUGAAGGGAGAGAUUUGCCACCAGUCUACUUCCUCUCCUUGGUUUUGUUGGAUGGAGUUCAUCAGGGGGUGAAUGAAAAGGGAACUUCCUCUGCCCUCGGAUGAUGGUGACCUGUCCUGUCCCUGCCUGUUUUGUGUCACUUAUAGGAGGCCUGUUCGGUAGAAAUACCACACAUGGGAUAUCUCUUUGUCCUGUCCCACAGAGAACAAACACCUAGAGCAGUGGUGGCAUCUCCGUCCUGGGAGGUGUUUAAGACCCAGCUAGACAAAGCCUUGGCUGGGAUGAUGUAGUUGGGGCUGGUCCUGCUUGGAGCAGGGGUUGGACUAGAUGUGACCUCCUGAGCUCCCGUCAACCCUUAUUUUCUAUGAUUCUGUGAAAAUCAAUGUUCGCGGUAAAUAUAAUCACUAAUACAAGGGACAGCUGUUUCUUUCUCCAGUCUUUAUUGAGGCCGGUGACUGUAGUUUCUAUGUGCCGCACGAUCUUUAUUGUGGAGUAGAAAAAAGGAAAAACGGGGCUACAUAGCAUAUGAUACUGAAGCUGAUUUCCUAGGUUCACGCUCCCUCAGAAGCAAUGAAGAUUUAAAAAAUUCAUAACUCCAAACACUAUUGAUCACCAAACAAAGAAAUACACGUGGUCAAUCCAUUGUGCAAACCAUCGGUGGUCGAAGGAAAUGGUUACAGCGUGAUGUCAGGCCCGGAAGCUUAUUGUGAAAACGCUUGCAUUACCUGAAAUGGAAAGUCUGGUUUGACUUGUAUCACGUGGACCGUUUGGCAUGCAGAGGAGCACGUGCACCACAACGGUUGUGUUGUAACACUUUCAUUUGCCUGUGAAGCAAUAUUAGUUUCCGCUGGCUAUUUUUGAUCUGGCCUUCCCCUGGUUUAAUUAAACUGCACAAUCAGCUGCUAUUUCAGGCCCAUUCUCAUCCACUCACCAGCCUUAAUGCGCCUUUCUACUGCAUCCUCUUCAGAUGUCCUGAGAUGCCUCUGGAGUGGUGUUGACACUGUUACAAAUGCACCUGAAAACCUCAUCAUCCAAAACUGAGGGGAAAUACAUGUGGAAAAGACUUUCUCCCUGACUUUCUACCUGAAUUCCACAUUUUUUCCUUAUUUAUUUUGUCCUUCUCACUUUUGUCUUCUGUAUUUCCAAGGUCCAACAGAGACUGGUGCUGUGAAUGGUCUUUUUAAAAGAGUGUAUAUAAGCAAUCCUGAAUUUAUGAGGAUUUUGGAAAUGUUAAUACCCAAGGUAUAUAAAAUCGUGGAAACGUAGUGAUCUGCAAAGAUGGCAGUUCUUGGCACUGCGAACAGGUGGCUUUCCCACUUGCGCAAAACCAGUCUGCCCAUCCUGUGUGGAGUCAACGUUCAUUUGCUUUCUGGGCUUUGACUUGUUUAAUGCAUGACACAUUGUGUUUAAUAAACAAUGAACUAAGUCUAGUCCACAACUGCAUUUAUAUUUCCUGUCCCCACCAUAAGCAGGAAGAGCGGGGAAACUAAUGAGAGAGGGUGGCAUCUCUUUAUACGCUAUCCUGAAUUGUUUGGAAAGCACCGAGCAACCUGUGGUUGCUACCGUUAAUAAAUGCGCUGGCAAGGUUUCCAGCAGUCUUCGUUUUUAGAGGAUGAGAAUUGGGAUUUGAAGGAUAUGCCAGUGAGGAGACAACAGGUUUGGAUGGGCUGAUCCUGCCUCAGGGAGGGGGUUGAACUAGAUGACCCCUUCCAGCCCUACUUCUCUAUGAUUCACUGAUGCUGUUACAAAAAUCUGCUUUAAUCUAGCCAUCCCUUCACACCAGUUUUGGGGGGGAGACGAGCUUGUGCCUCCCCUCACUCACUGACAUCGAUGAUGUAAUUCCACAGGCCUGAACUGAGCAUCGGGCUUCUCAUCUUCAAAGCCUAGAAAACCAAUGCACUGCUUUAUUGGGAAGGCAGGAUACUCCUUUUUGUAGACUUCUUCUGACUUGUCUUACUGCUUGGUUGUCUGUCUGAAAUGCAGGUAUAUGGCAGGCCAGAGCCUCCACUACUGGUAUUGGUUUUACAAGAAGGGGGUCUAAAUACAAGUGAGGGGAGCCAAAUGAAACCCUAAGGGUAGGUAGAUCAGUAGACAGAAGCUGCAAGGCCUGGGACUUUUAAUUCAGACUCUUUUCUUGAUAUACUGCCCAACUCCGACAGUGCUUGCUUUGUACAUUUACCUUCAAGCAGCCCUACCCCAGGUUGCAGGCUCUUGGCACCAUGUAAAACUGGACCCCUACAAUACCUGAAAACUUCAGGGCAAUGAUAGCUAAUCCCUGAAUAGGCCUGGCAAUUAUUCAAUCGUCAAACUGCCCCACCAAAAACUAACACCCACACUUUGUGCUGCCUAGGGUCUAAAGUCAAGCUCAUAUGAAUUAAAAAAACCCCACCUGGCAUGACUCAGGAUCCAAAAUAAAUCAGGAGACUGCCUGAUUUAAAAUCAGUGGAACCUAUUAAAAAAAUAGUAUUCAUGUUGGGUUGUUUUUGCCUUCUGUGU